UACGGAGGGUGCAAGUGUUAUCCGGAUUCACUGGGUUUAAAGGGUGCGUAGGUGGGCAGGUAAGUCAGUGGUGAAAUCUCCGGGCUUAACCCGGAAACUGCCGUUGAUACUAUUUGUCUUGAAUAUUGUGGAGGUAAGCGGAAUAUGUCAUGUAGCGGUGAAAUGCUUAGAUAUGACAUAGAACACCAAUUGCGAAGGCAGCUUACUACACAACGAUUGACGCUGAGGCACGAAAGCGUGGGGAUCAAACAGG
rnacentral:rRNA from 1 species